rnacentral:rRNA from 1 species
UGGGGAAUUUUCCGCAAUGGGCGCAAGCCUGACGGAGCAACGCCGUGUGAGGGAGGAAGGCCUGUGGGUUGUAAACCUCUUUUCUCUAGGAAGAAGUUCUGACGGUACUAGAGGAAUCAGCAUCGGCUAACUCCGUGCCAGCAGCCGCGGUAAGACGGAGGAUGCAAGCGUUAUCCGGAAUUAUUGGGCGUAAAGCGUCCGUAGGCGGUUAUACAAGUCUGCUGUCAAAGACCACAGCUCAACUGUGGGCAGGCGGUGGAAACUGUGUGACUAGAGUUCGGUAGGGGUAGAGGGAAUUCCCAGUGUAGCGGUGUAAUGCGUAGAUAUUGGGAAGAACACCAGUGGCGAAAGCGCUCUACUGGGCCGUAACUGACGCUCAGGGACGAAAGCUAGGGGAGCGAAAGGGAUUAGAUACCCCCGUAGUCC